GAUGAACGCUGGCGGCGUGCCUAAUACAUGCAAGUCGAGCGAUCAGAAGAGGAGCUUGCUCCUCUGACGUUAGCGGCGGACGGGUGAGUAACACGUGGGUAACCUACCUAUAAGCCUGGGAUAACUUCGGGAAACGGUAGCUAAUACCGGAUAAUAUAUUGAACCGCAUGGUUCUAUAGUGAAAGACGGUUUUGCUCUCCCUUAUAGAUGGCUCCCGGCCGCUUUGGCUAGUUGGUAGGGUAAGGGCUUACCAAGGCAACAAGGCGUAGCCGACCUGAGAGGGUGACGGCCCCACUGGGAACGGGACCAGGGCCCAGACUCCUAGGGAGGGAAGCAGAAGGAAACCUUCGGAAUGGGGGCAAAGCUGGACGGGGAAAGCCGGGGUGAGUAAGGAAGGUCUUGGAUUGGUAAAACUCUGUGAUAAGGGAGAACCAAAUGUGGAGUUAACUGUGCACGUCGUGACGGUACCUAAUCAGAAAGCCACGGCUAACUACGUG
rnacentral:rRNA from 1 species